AUUGAACGCUGGCGGCAGGCCUAACACAUGCAAGUCGAGCGGAUGAAGGGAGCUUGCUCCUGGAUUCAGCGGCGGACGGGUGGGUAAUGCCUAGGAAUCUGCCUGGACGUGGGGGAUAACGUCAGGUAACGGGCGCUAAUACCGCCUACGUCCUGAGGGAGAAAGAGGCGGAUCUUCGGACCUCACGCUAUCAGAUGAGCCUAGGUCGGAUUAGCUAGUUGGUGGGGUAAAGGCCUUCCAAGGCGACGCUCCGUAACUGGUCUGAGAGGAUGAUCAGUCACUCGGGAACUGGGACACGGUCCAGAGUCCUACGGUAGGCAGCAGUGGGGAAUAUUGGACAAUGGGCGAAAGCCUGAUCCAACCAUGCCGCGUGUGUGAGGAAGGUCUUCGGAUUGUAAAGCACUUUAAGUUGGGAGGAAGGGCAGUAAGUUUAUACCUAGCUGUUUUGACGUUACCAACAGAAUAAGCACCGGCUAACUUCUUG
rnacentral:rRNA from 1 species